ACGCUGAAGAGAGGAGCUUGCUCUUCUUGGAUGAGUUGCGAACGGGUGAGUAACGCGUAGGUAACCUGCCUUGUAGCGGGGGAUAACUAUUGGAAACGAUAGCUAAUACCGCAUAACAAUGGAUGACACAUGUCAUUUAUUUGAAAGGGGCAAUUGCUCCACUACAAGAUGGACCUGCGUUGUAUUAGCUAGUAGGUGAGGUAACGGCUCACCUAGGCGACGAUACAUAGCCGACCUGAGAGGGUGAUCGGCCACACUGGGACUGAGACACGGCCCAGACUCCUACGGGAGGCAGCAGUAGGGAAUCUUCGGCAAUGGGGGCAACCCUGACCGAGCAACGCCGCGUGAGUGAAGAAGGUUUUCGGAUCGUAAAGCUCUGUUGUAAGUCAAGAACGAGUGUGAGAGUGGAAAGUUCACACUGUGACGGUAGCUUACCAGAAAGGGACGGCUAACUACGUGCCAGCAGCCGCGGUAAUACGUAGGUCCCGAGCGUUGUCCGGAUUUAUUGGGCGUAAAGCGAGCGCAGGCGGUUUGAUAAGUCUGAAGUUAAAGGCUGUGGCUCAACCAUAGUUCGCUUUGGAAACUGUCAAACUUGAGUGCAGAAGGG
rnacentral:rRNA from 1 species